rnacentral:rRNA from 1 species
UAUGUGAUCGUCUCUCGCAUAUCAAUAAGCGGAGGAAAAGAAACUAACAAGGAUUCCCCUAGUAACGGCGAGUGAAGCGGGAAGAGCUCAAAUUUGAAAUCUUAAAGGGUUUCCCUUUACGAAUUGUAGUUUAAAGAAGUGUUUUCUGUUGAGGUUUUGGUAAGAGUUCUUUGGAAUAGGACAUCAUAGAGGGUGAGAAUCCCGUAUUUGACCUUUACUUUCAACUUUGUGAUACACUUUCAAAGAGUCGGAUUGUUUGGGAAUGCAGUCCAAAAUGGGUGGUAAAUUUCAUCUAAAGCUAAAUAUUGGCGAGAGACCGAUAGCGAACAAGUACCGUGAGGGAAAGAUGAAAAGAACUUUGAAAAGAGAGUUAAACAGUACGUGAAAUUGUCAAAAGGGAAGCGUUUGACACCAGUGUUGUUUUUCUGAAAAUCAAUUAAAGAACUGUUUAUGCUAAGUUGUUUAGACUUUAUCAGCUAUCUGUUUAGUUUUGAGCUUUUCUUUAAUGCACUUUUCAGUUAACAAGUCAACAUCAAUUUCUUUUGCUGUAAAAAAGCUUGAGGAAGGUGGCUUGAGAUUCGUCUUAAGUGUUUAUAGCCUCUUGCCUAUGCAGUCGGAGAGAUUGAGGUCUGCAGCGUAGAUCCUUCGGGGCUAAAUGCAUUUGUGCUAGUUAUAGCAUUUUAUAGACAACUUGUUGACUAUGAUUUGUCUUGUAGCUUACUCGCUUAUGUUAUUCUACCUACGCUUAGGAUGUUGAAUCUGUGCGAGACUAC